UUAUUCUUAAUCCCCUCAAAAACCCUCCUAGGUUAAUACAUUGUCUGUACGUCUCCUGUGAAAAUGGCAGGAAACAACAAGCAGAAGAAAUCUUCAGAUAGUUCUUUCUCUCUUUUCAAAAUCUUCAAAGGCAAAAGUUCGAGGGGUCGAAGGGUAGUUGAAGAUACAAAUUAUUAUGAUUCUAUGAAGGCUUGCAACUUUUGGCAUAGUGAUGAAGAUAGAGGUCGGUAUGUGGCCGAGCCUGGAAUUAACGACUUAGCUAAAGUUUACAUCAUUUCAACUAAAAGGAAGUGGGAAAAAGCAGUGUCCGACUAGUUAAUUAUCGGCAUAUCGUCUGAUUUAUUGUUACUUAAUUCCAUCUGCUGCUACUUCUACAUUCAUUAUGUAUUGAUUGAAAUUGUUAAAUAAUUAUUAGUACUGUUAUAGGAUGUCGUGUUCGACCUAGUUAAGUCGUGAAAUGCUAAUAACAGUUAAUGAAUGAAUAAAGCCUGUGCUUAAGGCUUGUCUCUUUUACUUGAAAGCAGCUGGUUUCCUUCAUUGCACUCAUGGUUUGGUCCUAAUGAAUAUUAUAAAGAUUCCCC
rnacentral:lncRNA from 1 species